rnacentral:lncRNA from 1 species
CACCUUCAAAAAUGAUUUAAAAACUUUAAAAAAAGGAGGGAACCAACUGAAGUUUUUCCACUUCCAGUCUCAGUGGUGAUCAGAAACGCAGUACACGCUGGGGGGUCCUGCAGUGAGUAGAGGGAGGAAAGCUUGAUGGAGUCCAGGACGUGGUGGACUCAGUAGCACGAUCUGAAGCCCGUGUCUCAGCAGAGGCUGCAGAGUGAGGGGGAGCUGCUGUACUUUGGGUGAUCCGACUGUGGGCUGUUUACUGGAUCUCGGGCAGUGCAGGAGGUGGUGCAGGGAAGGGGGGGCAGGGGCUCUGUGCUCUGCAUGUGUGGUGCAGAGAUGAACAUCAGUGGUGUGG